GAGAAUGAGUUCUGCGCUGUACAGAAAACCUCUGUAGGCGGCUGUGCCUGUUACACCAGCCCUGCUGGCGAGGUGGAUCCAUGACUGUCUCCUUGUCCAUAGAAGAUAGGCGUUCAUUUGCCCACCUAAGGCCAGAUCCUUCAUGAGUGGUGACUGUUAUGAAUUCGUUCAGACAAAAAUAGGACCUACCACAGGCAAAAUCUGCUCUAUGAAAAAUUGAAGUUGAAGGAGAAGGAGGUUAUGUCAUUUCUGCACAACUUAGAGAUGGAGAACAUUGAGGCCCGAGAGAACAACCAGGAGCUCCAAGAAGGAGAUAAAUGUCUAUCGGUCUCAGAAACUUCAAGAGAGCUGGGAUUGCCCACAGCCCAAGAAUAGAGCAUCCUGCAGAAUGAGUUGCCACCCCAAGAGCCCCCUGCUGAGCACCAUCCCCAGCAUCCACAAUCUUCCUUGGAUGAAUCUUCUUCCAUAGAGUUCAUUUCCUUAGGGUGAAUAGGCCCUAACUAGGAAGCCAUGGCUGACUCAGGGUGUUAUUCCCUUUUCUCUUCAGACAACUCCCCUUGGCAGAGAACUGAGGUUAUUGCACUGCCACCAAGUGUCCAGGAGGAGUAACAGGCUGUAGGUCUGUGCUGCUAAAUGUGCAGAAAGAGAAAGCACCUGAACAAUAAUUUUAUGUUAGAGUUUUGGUUGAAGUUUUGGUUUUUGUUCUUUGAGUUGUUGCUAUUUAUUGAGAAGU